GCUUUGGUGGUUCAGUGGUAGAAUUCUUGCCUUCCAUGCAGGAGACCUGAGUUCCAUUCCUGGCCAGUGCA
rnacentral:tRNA from 1 species